rnacentral:rRNA from 1 species
ACGCUCGACACCUACGGGGCAGCAGUAGGGAAUCUUCCACAAUGGGCGCAAGCCUGAUGGAGCAACACCGCGUGAGUGAAGAAGGGUUUCGGCUCGUAAAGCUCUGUUGUUGGAGAAGAACGUGCGUGAGAGUAACUGUUCACGCAGUGACGGUAUCCAACCAGAAAGUCACGGCUAACUACGUGCCUGCAGCCGCGGUAAUCUGAGCGGGCUGGCAAGGC